AGUAUAGGUUUUUCAAAACUCAUUUUAAAGUAAGCUUGUUAUUAAAUAUACAUAUCUUGUCUCUGUCUUUCUUGUUCCACUUUAUGGGUUUGCGAAUGGAGACACAGAACAGCCUAUGGCUUAGAGAAGCUAAAUUCGCUUUUCAUUUGGACCAUGCACCAUAAUCUGGGCUUUGAAGUCGAACGAUCUAGGAUUACCGGCCCUCUUCCCUGCCCUCGAUGGAAUGCCGGCCAAAUGCAUGUGAUGGCCUUUGAGGUGGCCUGUGGUUGAAGAAUCAACCAGGAUGAGCGUAGAGCCAAGAUGCCAGAUCUUACCCAAAGGAUCAGAUUCAGGCCAUACCGGAUGUG
rnacentral:lncRNA from 1 species